AUUGAACGCUGGCGGAAUGCUUUACACAUGCAAGUCGAGCGGCAGCGCGGCCUUCGGGCUGGCGGCGAGCGGCGAACGGGUGAGUAAUGCAUCGGAACAUGCCCAGUCGUGGGGGAUAACACUUCGAAAGAAGUGCUAAUACCGCAUACGUCUUGAGGGGGAAAGCGGGGGAUCGCAAGACCUCGCGCGAUUGGAGUGGCCGAUGUCAGAUUAGCUAGUUGGUGGGGUAAAGGCCUACCAAGGCGACGAUCUGUAGCUGGUCUGAGAGGAUGAUCAGCCACACUGGGACUGAGACACGGCCCAGACUCCUACGGGAGGCAGCAGUGGGGAAUUUUGGACAAUGGGGGCAACCCUGAUCCAGCCAUUCCGCGUGAGUGAAGAAGGCCUUCGGGUUGUAAAGCUCUUUCGGCAGGAACGAAACGGUGGGCUCUAACAUAGUCCGCUAAUGACGGUACCUGAAGAAGAAGCACCGGCUAACUACGUG
rnacentral:rRNA from 1 species